GGGGGGGGGGGGGGGGGGGGGGGACGCGGGGGGGGGGGGCGAGGCCUGCGGGGCGGGUGGCGCGCGGGUGCGUGACGCGUGGGCAUCUGCCCUUGGGUUCGGAAUCACUCGCCGAGAGGCGUGCUAAUACCGCAUGAUGAGGUCAGUCCAAAGAUUUAUCGCCCAAGGAUGAGCCCGCGUUGGCUUAACUAGUUGGUUAGGUCAAGGCGCACCAACGCGCCGACCCAUAGCUGGUCUGAGAGGAUGAUCAGCCACACUGGGACUGGGACACGGCCCAGACGCCUACGGGAGGCAGCAGUGGGGAAUAUUGGACAAUGGGCGAAAGCAUGAUCCAGCAAUGCCGCGUGAGUGAUGAAGGCCUUAGGGUUGUAAAGCUCUUUUACACGGGAUGAUAAUGACCGUACCGGGAGAAUAAGCUCCGGCUAACUCCGUG
rnacentral:rRNA from 1 species